CUUACNCAUGCAAGUCGCACGAAGGUUUCGGCCUUAGUGGCGGACGGGUGAGUAACGCGUAGGAAUCUAUCCGUGGGUGGGGGAUAACUCUGGGAAACUGGAGCUAAUACCGCAUGACACCUGAGGGUCAAAGGCGCAAGUCGCCUGCGGAGGAGCCUGCGUUUGAUUAGCUUGUUGGUGGGGUAAUGGCCUACCAAGGCGAUGAUCAAUAGCUGGUCUGAGAGGAUGAUCAGCCACACUGGGACUGAGACACGGCCCAGACUCCUACGGGAGGCAGCAGUGGGGAAUAUUGGACAAUGGGGGCAACCCUGAUCCAGCAAUGCCGCGUGUGUGAAGAAGGUUUUCGGAUUGUAAAGCACUUUCGGCGGGGACGAUGAUGACGGUACCCGCAGAAGAAGCCCCGGCUAACUUC
rnacentral:rRNA from 1 species